rnacentral:rRNA from 1 species
AGCGAACGCUGGCGGCAGGCUUAACACAUGCAAGUCGAACGGGCAUCUUCGGAUGUCAGUGGCAGACGGGUGAGUAACACGUGGGAACGUACCCUUCGGUUCGGAAUAACUCAGGGAAACUUGAGCUAAUACCGGAUACGCCCUUUUGGGGAAAGGUUUACUGCCGAAGGAUCGGCCCGCGUCUGAUUAGCUUGUUGGUGGGGUAACGGCCUACCAAGGCGACGAUCAGUAGCUGGUCUGAGAGGAUGAUCAGCCACACUGGGACUGAGACACGGCCCAGACUCCUACGGGAGGCAGCAGUGGGGAAUAUUGGACAAUGGGCGCAAGCCUGAUCCAGCCAGGCCGCGUGAGUGAUGAAGGCCUUAGGGUUGUAAAGCUCUUUUGUCCGGGACGAUAAUGACGGUACCGGAAGAAUAAGCCCCGGCUAACUUCGU